rnacentral:rRNA from 1 species
UUUAAAUUGAGAGUUUGAUCCUGGCUCAGGACGAACGCUGGCGGCGUGCCUAACACAUGCAAGUCGAGCGAGGAACUUCGGUUCCUAGCGGCGGACGGGUGAGUAACAC